GACGUAGGGCGCGAGCGUUGUCCGGAUUUAUUGGGCGUAAAGAGCUCGUAGGCGGCUUGUUGCGUCGGGCUGUGAAAUCCCGAGGCUCAACCUCGGGUCUGCAGUCGAUACGAGCAAACUAGAGUGUUGCAGGGGAGACUGGAAUUCCUGGUGUAGCGGUGAAAUGCGCAGAUAUCAGGAGGAACACCGGUGGCGAAGGCGGGUCUCUGGGCAACAGCUGACGCUGAGGUGCGAAAGCGUGGGGGAGCAAACAGG
rnacentral:rRNA from 1 species